UUCCUUCCGGUCAACGAGGUACAUGUGCCUCAUUGACCGGAAGGAAACCCUUCCGAUUGAUGAGGUACAUCUACCUCAUUGACCGGAAGGAA
rnacentral:miRNA from 1 species